UUAAGCGACUAAGCGUACACGGUGGAUGCCCUGGCAGUCAGAGGCGAUGAAGGACGUGCUAAUCUGCGAAAAGCGUCGGUAAGGUGAUAUGAACCGUUAUAACCGGCGAUGUCCGAAUGGGGAAACCCAGUGCAAUUCGUUGCACUAUCGUUAACUGAAUACAUAGGUUAACGAGGCGAACCGGGGGAACUGAAACAUCUAAGUACCCCGAGGAAAAGAAAUCAACCGAGAUUCCCCCAGUAGCGGCGAGCGAACGGGGAGCAGCCCAGAGUCUGAAUCAGCUUGUGUGUUAGUGGAACGGUCUGGAAAGUCCGACGGUACAGGGUGAUAGUCCCGUACACCAAAAUGCACAGGCUGUGAACUCGAAGAGUAGGGCGGGACACGUGGUAUCCUGUCUGAAUAUGGGGGGACCAUCCUCCAAGGCUAAAUACUCCUGACUGACCGAUAGUGAACCAGUACCGUGAGGGAAAGGCGAAAAGAACCCCGGCGAGGGGAGUGAAAAAGAACCUGAAACCGUGUACGUACAAGCAGUGGGAGCACCUUCGGGUGUGACUGCGUACCUUUUGUAUAAUGGGUCAGCGACUUAUAUUCUGUAGCAAGGUUAACCGUAUAGGGGAGCCGCAGGGAAACCGAGUCUUAACUGGGCGUUAAGUUGCAGGGUAUAGACCCGAAACCCGGUGAUCUAGCCAUGGGCAGGUUGAAGGUUGGGUAACACUAACUGGAGGACCGAACCGACUAAUGUUGAAAAAUUAGCGGAUGACUUGUGGCUGGGGGUGAAAGGCCAAUCAAACCGGGAGAUAGCUGGUUCUCCCCGAAAGCUAUUUAGGUAGCGCCUCGUGAAUUCAUCUUCGGGGGUAGAGCACUGUUUCGGCUAGGGGGUCAUCCCGACUUACCAACCCGAUGCAAACUACGAAUACCGAAGAAUGUUAUCACGGGAGACACACGGCGGGUGCUAACGUCCGUCGUGAAGAGGGAAACAACCCAGACCGCCAGCUAAGGUCCCAAAGUCAUGGUUAAGUGGGAAACGAUGUGGGAAGGCACAGACAGCCAGGAUGUUGGCUUAGAAGCAGCCAUCAUUUAAAGAAAGCGUAAUAGCUCACUGGUCGAGUCGGCCUGCGCGGAAGAUGUAACGGGGCUAAACCAUGCACCGAAGCUGCGGCAGCGACACUAUGUGUUGUUGGGUAGGGGAGCGUUCUGUAAGCCUGCGAAGGUGUGCUGUGAGGCAUGCUGGAGGUAUCAGAAGUGCGAAUGCUGACAUAAGUAACGAUAAAGCGGGUGAAAAGCCCGCUCGCCGGAAGACCAAGGGUUCCUGUCCAACGUUAAUCGGGGCAGGGUGAGUCGACCCCUAAGGCGAGGCCGAAAGGCGUAGUCGAUGGGAAACAGGUUAAUAUUCCUGUACUUGGUGUUACUGCGAAGGGGGGACGGAGAAGGCUAUGUUAGCCGGGCGACGGUUGUCCCGGUUUAAGCAUGUAGGCUGGUUAUCCAGGCAAAUCCGGAUAAUCAAGGCUGAGGUGUGAUGACGAGGCACUACGGUGCUGAAGUAACAAAUGCCCUGCUUCCAGGAAAAGCCUCUAAGCAUCAGGUAACAUCAAAUCGUACCCCAAACCGACACAGGUGGUCAGGUAGAGAAUACCAAGGCGCUUGAGAGAACUCGGGUGAAGGAACUAGGCAAAAUGGUGCCGUAACUUCGGGAGAAGGCACGCUGGUGUGUAGGUGAAGCCCCUGCGGGUGGAGCUGAGACCAGUCGAAGAUACCAGCUGGCUGCAACUGUUUAUUAAAAACACAGCACUGUGCAAACACGAAAGUGGACGUAUACGGUGUGACGCCUGCCCGGUGCCGGAAGGUUAAUUGAUGGGGUUAUCCGUAAGGAGAAGCUCUUGAUCGAAGCCCCGGUAAACGGCGGCCGUAACUAUAACGGUCCUAAGGUAGCGAAAUUCCUUGUCGGGUAAGUUCCGACCUGCACGAAUGGCGUAAUGAUGGCCAGGCUGUCUCCACCCGAGACUCAGUGAAAUUGAACUCGCUGUGAAGAUGCAGUGUACCCGCGGCAAGACGGAAAGACCCCGUGAACCUUUACUAUAGCUUGACACUGAACAUUGAGCCUUGAUGUGUAGGAUAGGUGGGAGGCUUUGAAGCGUGGACGCCAGUCUGCGUGGAGCCAACCUUGAAAUACCACCCUUUAAUGUUUGAUGUUCUAACGUUGGCCCCUUACCGGGGUUGCGGACAGUGUCUGGUGGGUAGUUUGACUGGGGCGGUCUCCUCCCAAAGCGUAACGGAGGAGCACGAAGGUUAGCUAAUCCUGGUCGGACAUCAGGAGGUUAGUGCAAUGGCAUAAGCUAGCUUGACUGCGAGCGUGACGGCGCGAGCAGGUGCGAAAGCAGGUCAUAGUGAUCCGGUGGUUCUGAAUGGAAGGGCCAUCGCUCAACGGAUAAAAGGUACUCCGGGGAUAACAGGCUGAUACCGCCCAAGAGUUCAUAUCGACGGCGGUGUUUGGCACCUCGAUGUCGGCUCAUCACAUCCUGGGGCUGAAGUAGGUCCCAAGGGUAUGGCUGUUCGCCAUUUAAAGUGGUACGCGAGCUGGGUUUAGAACGUCGUGAGACAGUUCGGUCCCUAUCUGCCGUGGGCGCUGGAGAAUUGAGGGGGGCUGCUCCUAGUACGAGAGGACCGGAGUGGACGCAUCACUGGUGUUCGGGUUGUCAUGCCAAUGGCACUGCCCGGUAGCUAAAUGCGGAAGAGAUAAGUGCUGAAAGCAUCUAAGCACGAAACUUGCCCCGAGAUGAGUUCUCCCUGAGACU
rnacentral:rRNA from 1 species